GUAUAUUCACCGAGCACCGCCGCUAGGCCCCCUACUGCUGCUGCUGCUGCACUGAUAUAGUUAUGUGGUGCGCACCGAGCAUCGCGUCGUGCGCGCUAGCAUUUGUACGCCUCGGCAGUCGAAUUUUUGUAAUCCACUGGAACGGAGGUACCUGCAGACCGUAAGUAGUUCUGAUAAGCACGGUCCCGGUAGAAUUUUGUGUAUCAAAAAUUGAUAAAACAACGGUCGCAUCUGAGUCAAGGCAGCCCCUAAAUCAGUCGGAUCAUCGCUGUUUGUGCGCGCGAGUGUGUAUUUCCCGAGAAUUGUGUGAUAACGUUAUCUAUUCGUAUUAUCGCAGGUGGUUUUUGGAGAAUCUAGCAAGGAGUUUUUAAUUUGGAACGACGGCGUUUUUUUCAGAAGGAAUAUUUUAUCGUGUUGAGAUACAAUGUUCAGCUCACACCAUUGUGGAGGUAUGAUGUGGGACCAUAAUCAUCACGGAAGGCCGCGUGGAAUCUUAGGUCGUUUCCCUAGAAUAAAAU